UUGUGUCCCCCGAGCAGGUUCCGGACCACCUCGCAGCGCCGCGUCCUUAGGGGCGGGCUCGGGGGGCACCACCCUCGAGGGGCGGAACCCGUGGGGGCGGUGGCGUGGAUCCGGAGGUACCUGGUUUCUGAGCAAGAUGCUUGCAUGAAAGAUUCAAUCUAAGGCCAAUGCAAAAAUAUUGUGAAAGCAGCAGGAUCAGCUAGCCUUCCAGUUGGCUUCUUAAAUGCUGCAUUGAAAGGAUGAAACAGAACGGAUGUGAACAAGAGUUCCCUGAGAAAGGACAGCUCUUAGAGAGAUAGGAUAAUUACUGGACUCAAGAAGAUACCAAAUCAUGGUGUGCAUUUCUGCGUUGUGUUUGGAAGAGGAACUAGGAUUGUUAUGAAAAGGAAGGAUGUGUUCAACUUAGAAGAAUUAAACCUCAACCAUCUGUCUCUUCCAAAUGGCAUUCUUGAUUCUAAAAAUCUUAAGUAGAGUGUAAAGUUAUUGUUGGAUACUGUAGUAGCCAGGCUAAGCUGAGCUAUUCAGUGGAACAGAUAAACCCGAAAAUCUCAGUGGCUUAACACAACAAGAUUUAUUUCUUUUUAGUAUCACAAUCUGAUGUAGAUUGGGUUGGUCUCCUGCUUGGCUUUCCAUCAAGUGACAGCUCAGGGAUCCAAGUUGCUUUUAUUUGGAAACUGUCAUCUUGAGAGCAUUUUGUUUCCAGCUGUAUGGACAGGAGAUCCAGAAGGUGUGGAGAAGUGCAUCCUUCCUGGAUCACAAAUGAUACAUCACUUUAGCUCACAUUCCAUUGUUAAGAAUUAGUGACAUGAUCCCACUGGGAUUCAUGGGGUCUGGGAUAUGGAACACUUGGAUAUUUGGCGAGCAUGAACAAUCUUUGCCAUAGAAACAUUGCCUCUAUAAUGUUAUUCUAUAUCCCUUAUCUUCUCAUGGUAGAUUUCACAUAGGAUUAGUAUCAGGAAAACGUUUUUCUCUCCUAAAAUGUUGGUAUUCUUCUUUUUUCCCUCUGGAGUCAGGAACUUUAGAUUUAAUAUUAAUGACUAUCUAAUCUGAGAUUUUUAGUAGCAUCAUGUAUCCUAUUUCUCUAUUGUGUUUCUGGAAUAGUUUUAUUAUUGUAUUUUAACUGACUAACUGUAUUUGAUUUUUUAAAAAUUGCCAUAAUCCUUUCUAGUUUUAGCUGUUCAUUUAAUGAACACUUACCAAUAGCAGAUGUGUUGAUAAGGAUGAAGGAUGUUUUUGGCUGCAACAGAAAAACUAAUAAGUGGUUUAAGCAAUAAGAGUUUAAUUAUCUGACACAAGAAGUCUGGCAGUUUCAGGAUAGGUUAAUUCAAUGGUGUGAUAUCAUAGAGGAUCAUGUAUACUCACUUUUUCUGUUUUAUAAACUUCAGCGUUUGAUGGUGUUCCCCCUUCCUGUCACAUACAGGUUAGUAGUUCCAAGUGUUGCUUGUCAUGGUAGACCCUAGUCAGGCCUGGGUCUUGUGACGCAGGAGACAAAUAUGCUCAUAGACUUGUCGUUAUGACAUGGCUGCAGUGUGGUGCCACCAGGCCUGCAUCACGCCUACUCAUCAUAUAAUAUUAGAUUAUAUAGUCUGUGGAAAAUGUUGCAAAAUGAUACUGGUGGCAGGGUCAGAAAUUGUAUUCAGACUUUGAUGUUAGAUCCAGGCAAAUGGCUUGUUGAAAAGAGAUUUCUCUUUAGAGAGAAAUCAUGUUGGUGUACCAGGUGACAUGUUUGGUUGGGGGUGGGGUGGGGGGACUGCUUGGAUAGCAUGGUAGUGAUAGAAGUGUGAUAAGCUGGAUGCUGGAUAUAGUUAGAAGGAUUUACUGAUCAAUUGGAUGUGAGGAGUGAUAUAGAGAGAGAUGUUGGGAAUGACUCCAAGUUUUGGCCUGAGUGAUGGGAAAAAUUGAGUUGCUAUUUAUCAAGAUAGGGAAGACCAAUGAGUUUGGUGCUGUCAUAAAAUAAAAUGUAUCAGAUUUUUAGCAACAACUGGAAGUAAGACAUUGCAAGGAGUCUGGGCUGGGCUGAGAUAGAGUUCAGAUGGGGAGCUGGAAUCAGACUGCUGCCCCAGGUCCUGGGACCCUGCCAUGCAGAAAAGACACCUGGCAUGGGCAAGGACUCCAGUAUGCCGGAGCCUCUUCCUCCUUUCUCAGGCCAAAUUUGUGUCCUUGCAAAAUUUGGCUACAAAUGUUAAAUUUACAAAGACCUCUGAUACCCAUUAUCCCACCCAACUCUCUGGAGAGCCUUUGUAAUGUGGUAACUGCUCUUAUGCACAUAGCCAAAGACUUGAAAACAGUCUCAGAAAAGCUGUAAUUUCUACCUUCAUUCAUUUAAAGAAAACUUACUAAACACUUAUUUAUUUAUUUUUAUUUUAUUUAUUUAUUUAUU
rnacentral:lncRNA from 1 species